rnacentral:rRNA from 2 species
UGCGGAGGGAUCAUUACCGAGUCUAACAACUCAUCAACCCUGUGAACAUACCUAAACGUUGCUUCGGCGGGAACAGACGGCCCCGUAACACGGGCCGCCCCCGCCAGAGGACCCCCUAACUCUGUAUCUGUAAUGUUUUUUCUGAGUAAACAAGCAAAUAAAUUAAAACUUUCAACAACGGAUCUCUUGGCUCUGGCAUCGAUGAAGAACGCAGCGAAAUGCGAUAAGUAAUGUGAAUUGCAGAAUUCAGUGAAUCAUCGAAUCUUUGAACGCACAUUGCGCCCGCCAGUAUUCUGGCGGGCAUGCCUGUUCGAGCGUCAUUACAACCCUCAGGCCCCCGGGCCUGGCGUUGGGGAUCGGCGGAGCCCUCUGUGGCACACGCCGUCCCCCAAAUACAGUGGCGGUCCCGCCGCAGCUUCCAUUGCGUAGUAGCUAACACCUCGCAACUGGAGAGCGGCGCGGCCACGCCGUAAAACACCCAACUUCUGAAUGUUGACCUCGAAUCAGGUAGGAAUACCCGCUGAACUUAAGCAUAU